AAUGGUAUUUAAGGGAGGUUAUUUUGCGGAGGUUAUAAAAACCCUCCGCAAAUUAAUAUGAUUUAAUUUGGUUCUAUUGAAUUGUGAAAGGCCUAAUGAUAGCGGAAGUUUUAAGUUCUUUUUAAAGAGGUUCAUAACUAACCAAAUUAUAAUACAUUUUUCUUUUUAUUUUUUUUCGUUUUUCAGUCUUUUUCUUCCAAAAUUUUAUCUUACUUUAUUUUUUCUCCAAAUUCCUAAACCUAAACUUAACUUCAUCAAACACUUCCUUUUUCUCAUGUAUCAUCUACACUCUUUGAGCCGUCUUCCCGUCACAGCCAUUCUCGACCAGAAAAAGCGUAAUGACGACCCACUGUAAAGUGCUGAGAAGGUGAUCUUGUAGAGGAGCUUGAUGUCGCCUAUCAUGAAGGUGGUGAGGAGUUCGGGGUCGACGUUGGACUAGACGAGGGAGUCGUAGACUUGGGAGACGCAUAUACAGUCAAAGGGGUUUUCAGUUCUAUGUUUUCCAUUUUUGAUUCAAAACUCAAAUCUUAAAACUCUUCCCCAAACCUCUCUUUUAGGUUUAGGUUUCAUGUUUCAGAGGCUUUACCUUUCACUAGUAUCCUCAAAUUCGUGAAAUCAUAAAACCCUAAUCGAAGAUGAGACAGUUCUCAAACGCCUCUGCACUUAUCGCGGCCACAACGGAUAUUCUGGUUAACUCAUAACAGGGAGUGGGGAUUAUUGCUGCCUUGUAUGUGUUUGAUGAAAUUCCUAGGUUAAGUGCAAUACAUUUUUGUUGCCCACCAUCGUUCUUCUAAUAAGAAAGGCGUUUUUAUAGUGUAAUUAGUGCUUUGUAUGCAAAUUUUGAACAAUACUACACCAUAUUUUGGAAGUAGUGGUUGAUGGGUCAGUAAGGGAUGUAUGGAUCCCUCUUAAAAGAGUGCGUUCUGGAGAAUUAAGACUUCGAAUAUCAAUUAGAGUGGAUGACCAAGAAGGACCGAAGGGUUCGGGUUUUGGCUCAAGCAAUGGUUGGAUUGAACUUGUCCUGGGAAGGGAUUGUUAUUGUCUAUCUCAAAGGCAUAAGUGAUCCAUAUGUGAGGGUACACUACGAAAACUUUAAGAAACAGACAAAGUUUGGAAUACUCACAGGUUACUCUAGCUGCCUAUAUUGAACUUUUGUGCACUUUACUUAGUGCUGGAGUCCAGGCUAAUGCAAAAAGAUACGGUCCAGUUAUAUCCACCAUUCCUCAGCAGCUAUCCAGAUUUUAGUUUAAAAUGAUCACUAAUUGAACGUAAAUUUGAAGCUCACAUGCUGAUAAAUCAAGGUGAUAAAGAAGUGCCUUUUGUUCAUGUCUGUUGCUUCUGCCCUCCUCAGGUUGCCAGUAUUGAUGUGGAAAGGGGCAUUGGUUUUCGUUGCAAGUUUUUCUGGUGAAAGGCAUUGAAGGGCAAAAAGUAUGCAUUUGAAAUUCAAAUAUUGGAAGUUGUUGAUACAAAUGAGUUGGAGUUUUCUUUGAGUACAAGAGGAUUAUCUCAUGCUAGGGGGUUUAUGAUGUGUUUUUAGGAUAUAAUUAUAUUUAGUCUAUUAUGUAUUUUUGACAAUGUUAGAGUUUUUGGUCAAUCUUGUAACUUUAUUUAAAUAUUAUGUAUUUUUUUUGUAUUUACAUUGUAAUUAUUAAUGAAUGUAUGUUAUUUUAAAUCAUCAAUGAAAUUAAUUUUGAAUUA